UUGGCUUUGUUAAUUUGUCUUGACUUUUGUAAUUUUGUUUUCUGAAAAGUUAAUUUGAUUUGCCCUUAUCGGCCACCGUAAUUUCACUCAGUUGUCAAGCUGCACUGUGGGACAUCCCACUGAAGUUUCUGGAUAUCAUGGCUGGCCUGUACAAUGGCACUGUAAGUGCUGUGCAGAGUGGAGGUAGAACCUCUGCAUUCUUCCCAGGGGAUUCAGACAUUCAUCAAAGCAUGUCCUGAGUCUGCCCUGGGGCCUCCUCCUGGUUGGACAUGCAGAAGCACCUAACCAGAUGUCCAAAAUACCUCACCUGGCCGCUAUCAAUGCGGAGGAGCAGCGGCGCUACUUUGAGGUCCUCCUGAAUGUCCGAGCUCCUCUCCCUCUCUCUGCGGCUGAGCCCAGACACCCCUGCGAACGAAACUCAUUUCACCCCCUGCCUCCUCCACCUAUUGAAGCAGGGUAUCGUAUCCCACAAGAAGCAAACAUAUUACAGCCGCGAUGAGUUGCCCCCCCAUCCUGGUUUAUUCCCCGCCUUGUGCCCAUAGCUUAUGGGAUAGGCUCUGGACCCCAUGACCCUGCAUAGGACAAAUCGGAUGGAGGAUACCCUGCAACGAGCGGUAGGUGAGGAGGUCCACCUCCUCCAAGUCCUGACCGCUCAGAGGAAUGGAACACAGCUGUUUCCACACCCAGGGUGCCAAGUGAAGGUCCAGCGGCUUUU